rnacentral:rRNA from 1 species
UACGAAGGGGGCUAGCGUUGCUCGGAAUCACUGGGCGUAAAGCGCACGUAGGCGGAUCGCUAAGUCAGAGGUGAAAUCCUGGAGCUCAACUCCAGAACUGCCUUUGAUACUGGCAAUCUCGAGUCCGGGAGAGGUAAGUGGAACUGCGAGUGUAGAGGUGAAAUUCGUAGAUAUUCGCAAGAACACCAGUGGCGAAGGCGGCUCACUGGCCCGGUACUGACGCUGAGGUGCGAAAGCGUGGGGAGCAAACAGG